UACGGGAGGCAGCAGUGGGGAAUAUUGCACAAUGGGCGCAAGCCUGAUGCAGCCAUGCCGCGUGUAUGAAGAAGGCCUUCGGGUUGUAAAGUGCUUUCAGUCGUGAGGAAGGUGUUAAGGUUAAUAACCUUAGCAAUUGACGUUAGCGACAGAAGAAGCACCGGCUAACUCCGUGCCAGCAGCCGCGGUAAUACGGAGGGUGCGAGCGUUAAUCGGAAUUACUGGGCGUAAAGGGCACGCAGGCGGUUAAUUAAGUUGGAUGUGAAAUCCCCGGGCUUAACCUGGGAAUGGCAUUCAAGACUGGUUAGCUAGAGUCUUGUAGAGGGGGUAGAAUUCCAUGUGUAGCGGUGAAAUGCGUAGAGAUGUGGAGGAAUACCGGUGGCGAAGGCGGCCCCUGGGACAAAGACUGACGCUCAUGUGCGAAAGCGUGGGGAGCAAACAGGAUUAGAUACC
rnacentral:rRNA from 1 species